rnacentral:rRNA from 1 species
CUGCGGCAGCGACACUGUGUGUUGUUGGGUAGGGGAGCGUUCUGUAAGCCUGUGAAGGUGUACUGUGAGGUAUGCUGGAGGUAUCAGAAGUGCGAAUGCUGACAUAAGUAACGAUAAAGCGGGUGAAAAGCCCGCUCGCCGGAAGACCAAGGGUUCCUGUCCAACGUUAAUCGGGGCAGGGUGAGUCGACCCCUAAGGCGAGGCCGAAAGGCGUAGUCGAUGGGAAACAGGUUAAUAUUCCUGUACUUGGUGUUACUGCGAAGGGGGGACGGAGAAGGCUAUGUUGGCCGGGCGACGGUUGUCCCGGUUUAAGCGUGUAGGCUGGUUUUCCAGGCAAAUCCGGAAAAUCAAGGCUGAGGCGUGAUGACGAGGCACUACGGUGCUGAAGCAACAAAUGCCCUGCUUCCAGGAAAAGCCUCUAAGCAUCAGGUAACAUCAAAUCGUACCCCAAACCGACACAGGUGGUCAGGUAGAGAAUACCAAGGCGCUUGAGAGAACUCGGGUGAAGGAACUAGGCAAAAUGGUGCCGUAACUUCGGGAGAAGGCACGCUGAUAUGUAGGUGAAGUCCCUCGCGGAUGGAGCUGAAAUCAGUCGAAGAUACCAGCUGGCUGCAACUGUUUAUUAAAAACACAGCACUGUGCAAACACGAAAGUGGACGUAUACGGUGUGACGCCUGCCCGGUGCCGGAAGGUUAAUUGAUGGGGUCAGCGCAAGCGAAGCUCUUGAUCGAAGCCCCGGUAAACGGCGGCCGUAACUAUAACGGUCCUAAGGUAGCGAAAUUCCUUGUCGGGUAAGUUCCGACCUGCACGAAUGGCGUAAUGAUGGCCAGGCUGUCUCCACCCGAGACUCAGUGAAAUUGAACUCGCUGUGAAGAUGCAGUGUACCCGCGGCAAGACGGAAAGACCCCGUGAACCUUUACUAUAGCUUGACACUGAACAUUGAGCCUUGAUGUGUAGGAUAGGUGGGAGGCUUUGAAGUGUGGACGCCAGUCUGCAUGGAGCCGACCUUGAAAUACCACCCUUUAAUGUUUGAUGUUCUAACGUGGACCCGUGAUCCGGGUUGCGGACAGUGUCUGGUGGGUAGUUUGACUGGGGCGGUCUCCUCCUAAAGAGUAACGGAGGAGCACGAAGGUUGGCUAAUCCUGGUCGGACAUCAGGAGGUUAGUGCAAUGGCAUAAGCCAGCUUGACUGCGAGCGUGACGGCGCGAGCAGGUGCGAAAGCAGGUCAUAGUGAUCCGGUGGUUCUGAAUGGAAGGGCCAUCGCUCAACGGAUAAAAGGUACUCCGGGGAUAACAGGCUGAUACCGCCCAAGAGUUCAUAUCGACGGCGGUGUUUGGCACCUCGAUGUCGGCUCAUCACAUCCUGGGGCUGAAGUAGGUCCCAAGGGUAUGGCUGUUCGCCAUUUAAAGUGGUACGCGAGCUGGGUUUAGAACGUCGUGAGACAGUUCGGUCCCUAUCUGCCGUGGGCGCUGGAGAACUGAGGGGGGCUGCUCCUAGUACGAGAGGACCGGAGUGGACGCAUCACUGGUGUUCGGGUUGUCAUGCCAAUGGCACUGCCCGGUAGCUAAAUGCGGAAGAGAUAAGUGCUGAAAGCAUCUAAGCACGAAACUUGCCCCGAGAUGAGUUCUCCCUGACCCUUUAAGGGUCCUGAAGGAACGUUGAAGACGACGACGUUGAUAGGCCGGGUGUGUAAGCGCAGCGAUGCGUUGAGCUAACCGGUACUAAUGAACCGUGAGGCUUAACCUUACAACGCCGAAGGUGUUU